GGGCGUCUGGACGCCUAAAACCGCGUUAAGUCCAGAGCGGGCACCGGGCGUAUCGGUGCCGUCGUG
rnacentral:ribozyme from 1 species